rnacentral:rRNA from 1 species
UACAGAGGGUGCGAGCGUUAAUCGGAAUUACUGGGCGUAAAGCGUGCGUAGACGGUUAUUUAAGUCGGAUGUGAAAGCCCCGGGCUCAACCUGGGAAUUGCAUUCGAGACUGAAUAGCUAGGGUACGGUAGAGGGAAGUGGAAUUUCCGGUGUAGCGGUGAAAUGCGUAGAUAUCGGAAGGAACAUCAGUGGCGAAGGCGGCUAUCUGGGCUGAAACUGACGCUGAGGCGCGAAGGCUAGGGGAGCAAACAGGG